UUCACGCGUUCUCAGCCUUCUCUCCUCCUCGCCAUCGUUCUUCAUUCCUUCUCUCCUCCUAGUUGUUCUUCUUUAUUCUUUCUCUUCUCCUCACUGUCAUUCGUCUGUUCCUUUUCCACUCUCAUCCAUAUGCCAUAGUAAAGGAGAAAUAUUGCAGCUCAUUUCCUUUCCUUCUUUGUUUUGAGGCUAUUGUUGCUGGGUGGAAUUCUUCUCUUCUUCGGUGGUCCAUGAGCUGAAAUGUGACAGCUUCCACUGCACUUUAGUAGAGGUUAAAUUGGAGUAUGACUGAAGUAAGCAUGAAAUUGAGGGAGUCUAACUAUAAGAUUAUUGAAAACUCUCAGAUUCAUCAUGCCUAUUAAGAAAAGAAGACGUCAGAAGCAAGGAGGGUCUUGUGGUACAAAUUUAGAUGAGCAAAGCAAGUAUAAAUGUUACAAACACAUUGUUUAUAUAUUUUGAUAAAAAAGAGAUUAAGUAUUGAAGAUUUAUAACAU